UUGAUUCUCUUUAAAUCCAUUCAUAAAAUAGUAUUCCUAUGGUUGUUUUCUAGUUUUACAACAGCAUAAAUAUUUUUAAAUUUUACAACAGCAAAACAAAGUCCUUCAACUCAAGGCCCACGUUGUAAGAAACUCCUGGUCCAAAGUGCCUCUAACACAAUCAGACACUGUCCAGACUCCUACAGUGUCUCAGUGGGCUCAUUAAAAAGGACUUAAUCACCAAGAUCUCCAUUGCAGCGUGUAGCAGCACAGAACUUACUGAAGGGCUGGCUCCUGUAGUACCUCACUGUUCUGGCAGUGUUUGCAAUCAUGCGCUAAUAGGGAAAAAAAAAAAGAAGAAGAAGAAGACAGAAAUGCAAGUCAGCUUAGUGUUUAAUCCAAAAAGGAAAACACACCAUUAUUUAUUUUGUUCAUGCUCGGUACCACCAGAAACAGGAUGUUCUAAGAUGUUGACUAUCUGAAGGAGCUGGCUGAUGGAUACCCUAUUUAAUAACUUUAAAGGACACCCACACUCAGAUGCACUGGGCAUUUUCAGAAUUUUGGUUGCAGCAAAGACGGAAAACGAGAGUCUUUAUCUUGAACUCAAUUAAACAAAAGAAAAGAAAAUGAAGGACAGAAACAAAGAAUCCUCAAUCCCUGUGGAAAAACACUGGAUAGAAAAAAAUAUAGUCUCUAUUCUACAAAGAUCGUGCCCAUGAUAGCAACCAAAUGGAAGUGCACAAUAGGGAGCAGAGAUAAAAGGGAUCCAGAAGCUA